rnacentral:rRNA from 1 species
GAUCUUCGCGUUCCGUCUUCUUUACGCCGAUGUAGUUGAUGUUGCUUACACGGGGGUGCAGGGCCAAAGCGAUAUGGAACGGCGAAGAGCGAUGGCAGAAACGGUUAAUAUUCCGUUACUGCCGCAUGGAGCGAUUGUGGAGACGCAGUAGUGACACCGCCGCGGAGUUACGGAAUACUCCGUUGAAGGGUGUAGGAGUUGACGGGGGCAGGCAAAUCCGUUCCCGGAUCCGAACCUGAUAGUACGGCGGCCCCUUCGGGUGGCUGCUGAUAGUGUGGGUAACCAGACUGCCUAGAAAAUCCGCUAAGCUUAAUCCAUGCGGCACCCGUACCGCAAACGGACACACGUAGUCGUGUAGAGCAUACUGAGGCGUUGGGAGAUUCAUGGUUAAGGAAUUAGGCAAACUGACCCCGUAACUUCGGGAUAAGGGGUCCUCGUGAGAGCGAGGCGCAGAGAAUAGGUCCAGGCAACUGUUUAACAAAAACACAGGGCUGUGCAAACUCGAAAGAUGAAGUAUACAGCCUGACACCUGCCCGGUGCCGGAAGGUUAAGAGGAGAUGUCAGCCAGCAAUGGUGAAGCAUUGAAUUGAAGCCCCGGUAAACGG